AAAUUGAAGAGUUUGAUCAUGGCUCAGAUUGAACGCUGGCGGCAGGCCUAACACAUGCAAGUCGAACGGUAACAGGAAGCAGCUUGCUGUUUCGCUGACGAGUGGCGGACGGGUGAGUAAUGUCUGGGAAACUGCCUGAUGGAGGGGGAUAACUACUGGAAACGGUAGCUAAUACCGCAUAACGUCGCAAGACCAAAGAGGGGGACCUUCGGGCCUCUUGCC
rnacentral:rRNA from 1 species